ACUCCCGUUCUUGGCAGGCCCUGGCCGCCCCGUGCCCGGGUCUGUGAUGUCCGGAGGUAGAGCAGCGACUCUUUCACGGGCACCCUCUUGCUAUGGGGAAGGAGCAUCGUAGGAGAAGGACAACU
rnacentral:snoRNA from 1 species